AUUGAACGCUGGCGGCAUGCUUUACACAUGCAAGUCGAACGGCAGCGCGGGCUUCGGCCUGGCGGCGAGUGGCGAACGGGCGAGUAAUUCAUCGGAACGUGCCCAGCAGUUGGGGAUAGCUCGGCGAAAGCCGGAUUAAUACCGCAUACGAUCAGAGGGUGAAAGCGGGGGAUCUUCGGACCUCGCGCUAUCUGAGCGGCCGAUGGCAGAUUAGCUAGUUGGUGGGGUAAAGGCCUACCAAGGCGACGAUCUGUAGCUGGUCUGAGAGGACGACCAGCCACACUGGAACUGAGACACGGCCCAGACUCCUACGGGAGGCAGCAGUGGGGAAUUUUGGACAAUGGGCGAAAGCCUGAUCCAGCAAUGCCGCGUGUGUGAUGAAGGCCUUCGGGUUGUAAAGCACUUUUGGCGGGAACGAAAAGGACUGUGCCAAUACCACGGUUCGAUGACGGUACCCGCAGAAUAAGCACCGGCUAACUACGUG
rnacentral:rRNA from 1 species